rnacentral:pre_miRNA from 1 species
AUUCUACUCCCUCCGUUCGGAAUUACUUGUCGCAGAAAUGAAUGUAUCUAGACGUAUUUUAGUUCUAGAUACAUCCAUUUCCGAGACAAGUAAUUUCGAACGGAGGGAGUAGCAA